UGGGUGACAAGGCUAACUCCAUCUAUGGAGGAAAAGCUAGAGAAAGAAAGCCAAAAAUUUAAUACUCUUCAAGUGUUGAUGCCUAAUGGUACCAAAUUUGAGGUACGGGGGGAUACCAUAGAAGUAGUUGACAUUGACCAUUGCGAGUGUAGUUGCAGAGAUUGGGGGCUAACUGGGUUACCUUGUUGCCAUGCCAUAGCUGUCAUUGGUUGCCUUGGCCGUGAUCCAUACGACUAUUGUGCCAGGUACUUUACUGCUGAUAGUUACAGAUCAACAUAUUCAGAGUCCAUACAUCCAAUUCCAAGCUUAGAACGACCCAAGAAAAAGGACGCUUCUCAAGCUGCUGUAACAGUAACCCCUCCUCCUACCCGUCGUCCACCAGGGCGGCCAACUUCUAAGAAGGUGGGUUCCCAUGAAGUAGCUAGGCGUCAACUCCAAUGUAGUAGAUGCAAGGGUACAGGCCACAAUAAGUCAACUUGCAAAGAGGUGUUACUGGAAAGCUAAGGUCUAGAGGUCAAUGGACAAAAGUGGUCCAGCUUUGGGAGGAAGAUUGCUUUUCUUGAUCAUUCUUCUAAUCUGUAUUUCUAAGUUCUAAGUUCAAUUUCUGGCUAGUUAUUUAGUUGUUUGACGAUAAUGUUAGUGGCUCAUAAACGAGGAUAUUUGAUUCUCUGUUAGUCUGGAAUGACCCCUAUGUUCUAAUGUAAAUGUGGUGGAUUCUGCAUUCAGGCUGUCACCUUUAGUGACGAAAAGCGCAACUUGAGAUCCGCGAAACUUAAGAGCAGUCUUUCAACUGAUUGUCUUGUUGGUACCACUUGUUCAAGAGCAGACGUAAAAAAGCGGAUCAUAGACGUUUUUCUGUGUCAUCAUCAAAUACCUUUGCUUGUCACCAUCCUAAGAUCAGUGAACAGAAAAAUUCUCUUUUUCUGGAGGGGUAGUUGUCAGUUGGAAUUGAAAGGAGGAAGUUGAAGUGGUAAAACAAAUACGCGGUAUCAGAAAAACAAAACCUUAUCACCGGAUUUGACAUUAUUUGUAAGAAAUUAGUCACUAAAUCUUUAGCGGAAUGUUGCCCUGGAUAGGAGGUUGGUCCGACCAUGCAAGUUGAUUUCCAUAAAAUUUUUACGCAAACAAGAAAUCCUUAAACUGGACGGGUUGUUCUUUGCUAUCAAAUUUCUAUUUUUGAGUG